AUCUGGUGUAGCUGCUGGGAGCCCUGGGCUGGAUAUGUACCCAGGUGACUCAUGGGGAAGGAUGCACCCUUCUGAGAAGCAUCACCUUUCUCAAGAAGCAUGACAGAGCUCCCGAUAUUAGACUUUCAAGACGUCUACCAGGCCUUCUUUGGAAUAAAUUGUGUCAUUGAAUGGGUCUUGCCUCCAAUAAAUCUCUUGCACUUCCAACUCCAUCUUGGCAUCUACUUUCUGGAAACCCCAACUGACCCAUUGUGCAAAAACACCUUUUGAGAGGUUACCCACUUAUUUCUAACGUAAGAGCUUUCCUACUUGCUUUUGUCUUUUUUUUUUUCUGGGUUGAAUUGUCUAUAUCUGAGCUCCUGAUUUCUCCUAUCUAGGCUCACCUUAAUCCCAGCAAUAAAGGAGGUGAUGUGGGAACCCUUAGAAGUAACUGAUGGAAAGCAAAUAAAGUAGGGAAGAUAAUGAGUAGCUGGCAAUUGGCUCAUAAAUAUCCCUGGCACAGCCUGAGACAGUCCUUGGCUGCCUUUUCUGGAGCUGAAUCUUCCAUUGUGAUGAGAAAGAAGUUGCCAGCAGACACAGGUGUGCAGCCUCACCUCCAG
rnacentral:lncRNA from 1 species